GAGUUUGAUCUUGGCUCAGGAUGAACGCUGGCGGCGUGCCUAAUACAUGCAAGUCGAGCGAACAGACGAGGAGCUUGCUCCUCUGACGUUAGCGGCGGACGGGUGAGUAACACGUGGAUAACCUACCUAUAAGGACUGGGAUAACUUCGGGAAACCGGAGCUAAUACCGGAUAAUAUAUUGAACCGCAUGGUUCAAUAGUGAAAGACGGUUUUGCUGUCACUUAUAGAUGGAUCCGCGCCGCAUUAGCUAGUUGGUAAGGUAACGGCUUACCAAGGCAACGAUGCGUAGCCGACCUGAGAGGGUGAUCGGCCACACUGGAACUGAGACACGGUCCAGACUCCUACGGGAGGCAGCAGUAGGGAAUCUUCCGCAAUGGGCGAAAGCCUGACGGAGCAACGCCGCGUGAGUGAUGAAGGUCUUCGGAUCGUAAAACUCUGUUAUUAGGGAAGAACAAAUGUGUAAGUAACUAUGCACGUCUUGACGGUACCUAAUCAGAAAGCCACGGCUAACUACGUGCCAG
rnacentral:rRNA from 1 species